rnacentral:rRNA from 1 species
GACGAACGCUGGCGGCGCGCCUAACACAUGCAAGUCGAACGAGCGAGAGAGAGUUUGCUUUCUCGAGCGAGUGGCGAACGGGUGAGUAACGCGUGAGGAACCUGCCUCAAAGAGGGGACAACAGUUGGAACGACUGCUAAUACCGCAUAAGCCCACGGCUCGGCAUCGAGCAGAGGGAAAGGAGCAAUCCGCUUUGAGAUGGCCUCGCGUCCGAUUAGCUAGUUGGUGAGGUAACGGCCCGACCAAGGCAACGAUCGGUAGCCGGACUGAGAGGUUGAACGGCCACAUUGGGACUGAGACACGGCCCAGACUCCUACGGGAGGCAGCAGUGGGGAAUAUUGCACAAUGGGGGAAACCCUGAUGCAGCGACGCCGCGUGGAGGAAGAAGGUCUUCGGAUUGUAAACUCCUGUUGUUGAGGAAGAUAAUGACGGUACUCAACAAGGAAGUGACGGCUAACUACGUG